rnacentral:rRNA from 1 species
UAAAGCUACAAAGAGCUAAUGGGGAAUGCCUUGGUACUGACAGCCGAUGAAGGACGUGUAAAGCUGCGAUAAGCUGCGGGGAACUGCUAAAAGGUCUUGAUCCGCAGAAAUCCGAAUGGGGAAACCCUAUCAAGUUAAAACUUGAUAACUCACAAGUGAAUACAUAGCUUGUGUAGAGGAAAGCCUGUGAACUGAAACAUCUUAGUAACAGGACGAAGAGAAAAUAACCCAAUGAUUCCGAGAGUAGCGGCGAGCGAAAUUGGAAGAGCCUAAAUUGUGUGUACGUGAUAGCCUGCAAGCGUUGUGCACAUGAGGUUGUGGGACUUGCAUCAUAUUUUGCAGAAUAUGGAUUGAGUUACAAAAUUAUUUAUUAGUUAAAGUCAACUGGGAAGUUGCGCCAUAGAGAGUGAUAGCCUCGUAAACGACAAUAAAUAAUCUCAAGUAAGUAUCCCGAGUAAGGCGGGGCACGUGAAACCCUGUCUGAAUCCACCGGGACCAUCCGGUAAGGCUAAAUACUAGUCAGUGACCGAUAGUGAACGAGUACAGUGAUGGAAAGGCGAAAAGAACAGUGAGAAGCUGAGUGAAAUAGACCCUGAAACCGUUAGCUUACAACCAGUCAGAGCACAAUUAAUUGUGUGAUGGCGUGCCUGUUGAAGAAUGAGCCGGCGAGUUAUUUUUUGUUGCGAGGUUAAGGAGAUCAUAUCCGGAGCCACAGGGAAACCGAGUCUGAAUAGGGCGUUAAGUAACAGGAAAUAGACCCGAACCUUGGUGAUCUAACCUUGACCAGGAUGAAGCGUGGGUAACACUACGUGGAGGUCCGAACCAACCGAUGUUGAAAAAUCGGUGGAUGAGUUGAGGUUAGGGGUGAAAUGCCAAUCGAACCAAGAGCUAGCUGGUUCUCCCCGAAAUGCGUUUAGGCACAGCGUUGGAUUUAUCUUGCAGGAGGUAGAGCACUGGUUUUGUGCGGGCGUCGAAAUGAUGUACCAAACAAUGUCAAACUCCGAAUACCUGUAAUGUCAUUAUCCAGCAGUGAGGCUAUGAGUGAUAAGAUCCAUGGCCAAGAGGGAAACAGCCCAGAACGCCAGUUAAGGUCCCUAAUAUAUGCUAAGUGGUUAAGGAGGUAGAGUUACUGAGACAACCAGGAGGUUGGCUUAGAAGCAGCCAUCCCUUGAAAGAGUGCGUAAUAGCUCACUGGUCAAGUGACUCCGCGCCGAAAAUACACCGGGACUAAAGCAUAUAACCGAAGCUGCGUCAUAUAGUUUACUAUAUGGGUAGGGGAGCGUACUGUAGUAAGACGAAGCUAGAGUGAAAACACUAGUGGAUGAGGCAGUAGUGAGAAUGUCGGCAUAAGUAGCGAAAACAUUGGUGAGAAUCCAAUGCACCGAAAACCUAAGGUUUCCCACGGCAGGCUCGUCCGCGUGGGGUUAGUCGGAUCCUAAGCUCAGGCCAAACGGCGUAGGCGAUGGACAAUAGGUUGAUAUUCCUAUACUAUCUGAUAAUCGUUAUCAGAAGCGGAGGGACGCAAGAGGAUAAGCACGCAGUCGACUGGAAGAGACUGUAUAAGCGUGUAGCUAGGUUUGACAGGAAAAUCCGUCAGAUCGUUAAUGUGAGGCGUGAUGUGGAGAGUCUACGGACUCGAAGGUGUUGACUCCAAAUUGCCAAGAAAAUCUUCGCUCUCGAGAUUAUUGGGUAUCCGUACCGUAAACCGCCACAGGUAGGUUGGUAGAAAAUACUAAGGUGCGCGAGACAACUCUCGCUAAGGAACUCGGCAAAAUCACCUCGUAACUUCGGGAGAAGAGGUACCCUGGUAGCGUGAAGCGAUUUACUCGUGAAGCGUGAUAGGGUCGCAGUGAAUAGGCCCAAGCGACUGUUUACCAAAAACACAGGUCUCUGCUAAGUCGAUCAAGACGAUGUAUAGGGGCUGACGCCUGCCCGGUGUCGGAAGGUUACGCGGAAAUGUUAGAAGCAAUUCAAAGCAUCGAAGCUAAGCCCCGAUGAACGGCGGCCGUAACUAUAACGGUCCUAAGGUAGCGAAAUUCCUUGUCAGGUA